rnacentral:rRNA from 1 species
GACGAACGCUGGCGGCGUGCCUAAUACAUGCAAGUUGAGCGCUGAAGGUUGGUACUUGUACCAACUGGAUGAGCAGCGAACGGGUGAGUAACGCGUGGGUAAUCUGCCUUUGAGCGGGGGACAACAUUUGGAAACGAAUGCUAAUACCGCAUAAAAACUUUAAACACAAGUUUUAAGUUUGAAAGAUGCAAUUGCAUCACUCAAAGAUGAUCCCGCGUUGUAUUAGCUAGUUGGUGAGGUAAGGGCUCACCAAGGCGAUGAUACAUAGCCGACCUGAGAGGGUGAUCGGCCAAAUUGGGACUGAGACACGGCCCAAACUCCUACGGGAGGCAGCAGUAGGGAAUCUUCGGCAAUGGACGAAAGUCUGAACGAGCAACGCCGCGUGAGUGAAGAAGGUUUUCGGAUCGUAAAACUCUGUUGGUAGAGAAGAACGUUGGUGAGAGUGGAAAGCUCAUCAAGUGACGGUAACUACCCAGAAAGGGACGGCUAACUACGUG